UUCGUUGUCGUCCAGCGGUUAGGAUAUCUAGCUUUCACCCAGGAGACUCGGGUUCAAUUCCCGGCAACGGAA
rnacentral:tRNA from 1 species